rnacentral:ncRNA from 1 species
GCAGAAAAUCAGAAAAUCUUAGUAUGCCGGUCAAAUACCAGUGAUGUGCUGCCAUGGAUGGCAGCACAAGCCUUAAUAUGACAUGGAUGUCAUAUUUAAGGCGGCACGUCAGUUAACAACUAAAAGAAAUCGGCAUACUUAGAUUUUCUUAUUUUCGUAC